AGUGAACGCUGGCGGUAGGCCUAACACAUGCAAGUCGAACGGCAGCACAGUAAGAGCUUGCCCUUACGGGUGGCGAGUGGCGGACGGGUGAGGAAUACAUCGGAAUCUACUUUUUCGUGGGGGAUAACGUAGGGAAACUUACGCUAAUACCGCAUACGACCUACGGGUGAAAGCAGGGGAUCUUCGGACCUUGCGCGAUUGAAUGAGCCGAUGUCGGAUUAGCUAGUUGGCGGGGUAAAGGCCCACCAAGGCGACGAUCCGUAGCUGGUCUGAGAGGAUGAUCAGCCACACUGGAACUGAGACACGGUCCAGACUCCUACGGGAGGCAGCAGUGGGGAAUAUUGGACAAUGGGCGCAAGCCUGAUCCAGCCAUACCGCGUGGGUGAAGAAGGCCUUCGGGUUGUAAAGCCCUUUUGUUGGGAAAGAAAAGCAGCAGGUUAAUACCACGCUGUUCUGACGGUACCCAAAGAAUAAGCACCGGCUAACUUCGUG
rnacentral:rRNA from 1 species